UUUAAUGUUUGUUUCCCAGUCACGAUAGCUAUAAGAAAGAAUUAGAAUUAGUGGGUGUGGGUUUUAAAGCUGCCAAUACAGGUAAUGUAUUAGACUUAGCUUUAGGAUACUCUCAUAAUAUCAUUUUUGAAAUACCAAAAGAAUUGACAGUCACUACUACUACUGAGAAAGGUCAGAAUCCAAAGAUCUUCUUAGAGAGUGCAGACAAACAAUUAAUUGGUCAAGUUGCUGCGAAAAUCAGAGGAUUACGUAAACCAGAACCAUACAAAGGAAAAGGUGUAAGAUACGCUGACGAGAUCGUAAGAAGAAAAGCAGGUAAAGCAGCAGGUAAAUAAACAUUAAAAAAUCACGACGAGCGGCAGCAUCGCUCGACUAAAAAAUAAUCAAUAUGAGUAAAUUAGCUCAAAGACAAAAGAUCAGAUAUAGAAUUCGUAAGAAAGUACAAGGUACAGCAACGAAACCUCGUUUAUCUGUAUUCAGAAGUAACGCUGAAGGAACUCGGCAAAUUAGCUCUGUAACUUCGGGAGAAGGAGUGACAUUUACUGGGCAACCAGUAGAUGUUGACACUAAAGAGGAAGAAACGACUGUUUAACAAAAACACAAGUCUCUGCUAAUUCGAGAGAAGAUGUAUAGAGACUGACACCUGCCCGGUGCUGUAAGGUAAUGUGGAGAUGCUAAAGCAUCGAAAUUAAGCCCCAGCAAACGGCGGCUGUAACUCUGACGGUCCAAAGGUAGCGAAAUUCCUUGUCGGGUAAGUUCCGACCUGCAUGAAUGGUGUAACGAUUUCUUCACUGUCUCCAGCAUACGCUUGGUGAAUUUGAAAUGUCCGUGAAGAUGCGGACUUUUUGUGGUUAGACGGAAAGACCCCGUGCACCUUUACUAUGAUUUUAAGUUGCAGAACUGUAUAACUUGUGUAGAAUAGAUGGGAGCGUAAGCAACAAUGAAAUACCAUCCUUGAUAUACUGUUUUGCUCAAUUCGAAUAGAAGACAGCUUAUGAAAGGUAGUUUGACUGGGGCGGUCACCUCCUAAAGAGUAACGGAGGUGUGCAAAGGCAAAUUCAGGUGUAAAACUGUAGAGUGUAAUGGCAUAUAUUUGCUUAACUGUGAGAUUGACAAAUCGAACAGAGAUGAAAGUCGGCCAUAGUGAUCCGGUGGUUCAAAGUGGAAUGACCAUCGCUCAACGAAUAAAAGGUACGCCGGGGAUAACAGGCUGAUGGUUUCUGAGAGUCCUUAUCGACGAGACCGUUUGGCACCUCGAUGUCGGCUCAUCACAUCCUGAAGCUGAAGAAGGUUUCAAGGGUUCGGCUGUUCGCCGAUUAAAGUGGUACGUGAGCUGGGUUCAGAACGUCGUGAGACAGUUCGGUCCCUAUCUGCCACAAGUGUUGAAAAUUGAAAGGACUAAAUCCUAGUACGAGAGGACCGAAUUAAGUAAACCUCUGGUGUAUCGAUUGUUAUUUCAGUAGCAUUGUCGAGUAGCUAAGUUUAUAAGAGAUAACCGCUGAAAACAUAUCGUGACUGGGAAAC
rnacentral:rRNA from 1 species